UUACGGCCAAAUCAUAUUGAAACACUGAUUCCCGUUCGAUCAUCGAAGUUAAGCAAUGUUAGCCUGGUCAGUACCUAGAUGGGUGACCGCUUGGAAAAACCAGGUGUUGUAAG